rnacentral:rRNA from 1 species
UACAGAGGAGCCAAGCGUUGUCCGGAUUGACUGGGCGUAAAGCGCACGCAGGCGGUUGCGCGCGUGGGGUGUGAAAUCUGGCCGCUUAACGGCCAGGCGCCAUCCCAUACGGCGCGACUGGAGCGAUGCAGAGGUCGGUGGAAUUGCCGGUGUAGUGGUGAAAUGCGUAGAGAUCGGCAGGAACACCCAAGGGGAAACCAGCCGACUGGGCAUCUGCUGACGCUGAGGAGCGAAAGCGUGGGGAGCGAACAGG